GAAGCUGCCUUUUUUUUUUCCUGUGGGUGCAGUGAUGGGAAACUUACCCUUCUGGGCCUUUGGGUUGGGGGAUGGGCACUGUUUCUUCUUGAGGAUGGUCUUCUUGGUGGUCGGGGCAAUGGUAGGAAAGGCCUCAACUGCAGAAAGAAGAAAGAUCCAUAUGUCAGGUAGAGGGACAGGUCCUUGGAACCCAUAGUGUGCUGGAGGGCCUGAACAAGGUCUGUUUUUCCCAACACUCUCAAUACUACCCACACUUCUCCAAAACAUUUGGACCCUCCAGCCCGGCAGGUGCCUCUUAGAAAACGGAAGAUCACAUCUAUGAUUUGCAAGGUACUUCUGCAUAUUAAUGAAACUGCAUCUUCCGAGAACUAGAAAAAAGAGAGGCGGGCCAGCAGCUGCCUUGUCCAGGCUGGAGGAGGGGCUCAUCUUGGUUUGAGGACAGUCCACUGUGGUUGGCAAGAGACUGAGGCUUUACAUCUGUGUGGCUCAGGAAAGGAGAACAGCUGUGGAGAACCUCCUAGUGCCAGCGUCCAGCUGGCCCCUGGAGUGAUCGAGACACCCUUUGAGGGGGAAGGAAAGCUAACCGACACACAGAGAAGUGAGCCCGAGAGGCGAGCUGGAGUGCUGCUGAGGGGCCCAGACCUUGCCCCGAAAGCGAGGCAAGGUCAAACCCAGACCUGGGGUGUGUGAGUGUCGGGUGUCUCCCCUCCUGUCCUGCCUUACAGCGCCGUAUGCCUCGGGCUUCUUUACUAGUUUUGAGAUCAAAGCCCAUCAAGAACCCGUGAAGAGACCCUGUUUGGCCUGUGGAGGUUGGCAGAGGUAUGGAAGAACCGAAGCAGGAGUUCUAGAGUUCUGGAGAGGAAGAGGGAGUGACCAUGUCCUGACCUCAGGUCUCUGACAGCCCACCUAGUCUCCACCAUAUUGUCCCGUUGUCACUGUUCCCAGGAGGACCUGCUAAGGCCCGGAUGUACACAGCGUAGACGGUCCUAGGACACCCACACACUAGGAGUUCUUCAAAUCCAGCUCAAACUCACUGAUCACAGAGUGAACCGUGGGAAGGGACACAGAGUGUCAGCUGAUAAAUGAGUGAUCCGUUCACUCCCCAGUGGCUCCUCGUUCCAGAAUCUGGCGCCUGCUCAUCUUCAACUGCUUCUCUGAAUUUACUUCUUCCUCACGACGGACCUGGACAACAGACGGACUUAGUAAAUGGCCUCUGGUUUUUGGAGAAGGGGUUUCAGGCCCAGGGAUGAUUUUGAACUCUUGAUCCUCCAGCAUUCACCUCCCCAAGGCUCCUUAAACUCUUUCUGAUUGUGACCCCUUUCUGAUCCCCCAAUUUUUCCAUGUCCCCAGGUAUAGGUCUAUGAAACAUAUAUACAAAGCAACCAUUUGCUGAUAACUAAUCAUUAAUGAAUUUGUUUUAUUCUACUUUUUAAAAAAAUUGUAUUUUUGUGUGGGAGUGUGAGAAUGUGUGUUUUUCCUCAGCGGCUAGAAGAGUGUAUCAAAUAUGCUGGAGCUGGAGUUAUAGGACCUUAUGAGCCACCUGGCACCUUUAUGAGCCUAACUCUGGUUGUUGGGAAGAGCAGCAAGUACCCUUAACCACUGAACUGUCUUUCCAGGUCCCAAUAAAAUUAUUUUAAAUAAUUUCUUUGCUAUGCAUAUAAUGCUACCAUUUAUUAAUGAUGGAAGCAAAUUUGCACACUACAGAGACGGAUGUGCUUAUUUAUUUUUACAUGGAGAAUUAAAUCAGGCCUGAAUAUUUUGAUACUGCAGGACACAGAACAUCAGAGUUGAAUGACAUUUUGAUUUUAUAAUUGUCAAUGCAGAGAAAGCUGCUUUAUAUAGCACAGAAUGGCAGAAGUAUGUUUGGGGACACUUCAGAAACUGUUGGCCUAAU